rnacentral:rRNA from 1 species
GAUGAACGCUGGCGGCGUGCCUAAUACAUGCAAGUCGAGCGAACAGAUGAGGAGCUUGCUCCUCUGACGUUAGCGGCGGAGGGGUGAGUAACAUGUGGAUAACCUACCUAUAAGACGGGGAUAAUCUCGGGAAACCGGAGCAAAUACCGGAUAAUAUAUUGAACCGCAUGGUUCAAUAGUGAAAGACGGUUUUGCUGUCACUUAUAGAUGGAUCCGCGCCGCAUUAGCUAGUUGGUAAGGUAACGGCUUUCCAAGGCAACGAUGCGUAGCCGGCCUGAGAGGGUGAUCGGCCACACUGGAACUGAGACACGGUCCAGACUCCUACGGGAGGCAGCAGUAGGGAAUCUUCCGCAAUGGGCGAAAGCCUGACGGAGCAACGCCGCGUGAGUGAUGAAGGUCUUCGGAUCGUAAAACUCUGUUAUUAGGGAAGAACAAAUGUGUAAGUAACUAUGCACGUCUUGACGGUACCUAAUCAGAAAGCCACGGCUAACUACGUG